rnacentral:lncRNA from 1 species
AGAGGUUACAUUUCCCCUCAAUUUGUAACAAAUCCUGAAAAGCUAAUUUGUGAAUUCGAGAAUGCAAGAGUGUUGAUUACAGAUCAAAAAAUUUCGGCAAUCAAAGACAUAAUUCCUCUGCUAGAGAAGACCACUCAAUUGAGAGCACCUUUACUUAUAAUUGCUGAGGAUGUUACUGGGGAGGCUUUGGCUACACUUGUUGUAAACAAGCUGCGGGGUAUCCUUAAUGUUGCUGCCAUCAAAGCUCCUGGAUUUGGUGAGAGGAGAAAGGCUAUGCUUCAGGACAUUGCCAUUCUAACAGGUAAUGUUUUGCUGCCUAACAGUAAAGAUGUCCUAUCAGAGCCCUCGAGUUUAGUGCCACAUUUUGUCAAUCAAAUAUUUGCAUCUGAUUUUGCUACAAGUAGCCGAAAUAGACAGCUAGAAUGUGGCACUAGGAUUGUGUCAAGAAGACAUUAAUUGUUCAUUACCUAUUUCCUUUCAGUUGCAUUAGUAAUGAAUUGUCUAUAUAUUUAUGUUAUUGGUUGUUGCUAAUUUUCUUUUGGGUUUUCCUGCUUUUUAGGAGCUGAGUUCCAAGCCAGCGAUCUGGGUUUGCUUAUUGAGAACACUUCAGUUGAGCAGCUUGGUUUGGCUAGGAAAGUAACCAUAACCAAGGACUCCACCACCAUUAUUGCUGAUGUUGCAUCCAAGGAUGAGUUACAAGCUAGGAUUGCACAGUUGAAAAAGGAGUUGUCUGAGACAGAUUCUGUUUAUGACACGCAGAAGCUAGCUGAGAGGAUUGCUAAAUUGUCUGGUGGGGUUGCUGUUAUCAAAGUGGGGGCUGCAACUGAGACUGAGCUUGAAGACCGUAAACUCCGAAUUGAGGAUGCCAAGAAUGCAACAUUUGCUGCAAUAGAGGAGGGUAUUGUCCCUGGUGGUGGUACCGCAUUGGUUCAUCUCUCAACUCAUGUUCCUGCAAUCAAGGACAAAAUUGAAGAUGCUGAGGAGCGGUUAGGUGCGGACAUUGUGCAGAAGGUAAUGUUAGUUAAUUUUAGAUGCAUGUCAGAUAUUUACGAAAGACUAAACUCCUCUCCUAGAUUCUGCUCUUACAGGAUCAGGAGUGGGUUAUACAUAAAUUCUCUCCGAGGUUCUUAAGUUAUUUUGUAGACCUUUAUUUUUAGUUGCCUGUACUAACUGCCUGCAUUUUCACAUAGGCACUGGUAGCACCAGCGUCAUUGAUAGCUCAGAAUGCUGGAAUUGAAGGUGAGGUGGUUGUGGAGAAGAUAAAGACUAGCGAAUGGGAGAUUGGGUAUAAUGCCAUGACAGACAAGUAUGAGAACUUGGUGGAGGCUGGAGUUAUUGAUCCAGCUAAGGUUACCAGAUGUGCUCUCCAGAAUGCAGCAUCAGUUGCUGGAAUGGUGCUGACCACUCAGGCAAUUGUGGUGGAAAAGCCUAAGCCUAAGGCACCAGCUGCUGCUCCUCCACAAGGUCUUACAGUGUAAUCACAGUAAAU